GAUGAAGAACGUAGCGAAAUGCGAUAAGUAAUGUGAAUUGCAGAAUUUAGUGAAUCAUCGAAUCUUUGAACGCACAUUGCGCCCUCUGGUAUUCCGGGGGGCAUGCCUGUUCGAGCGUCAUUAUAACCACUCAAGCUCUCGCUUGGUAUUGGGGUUCGCGGUUUCGCGGCCCCUAAAAUCAGUGGCGGUGCCUGUCGGCUCUACGCGUAGUAAUACUCCUCGCGAUUGAGUCCGGUAGGUCUACUUGCCAGCAACCCCUAAUUUUUUUAAGGUUGACCUCGGAUCAGGUAGGGAUACCCGCUGAACUUAAGCAUAUCAAUAAGCGGAGGA
rnacentral:misc_RNA from 1 species